UUGAACAACAAUAUUUUAUAUUAUUUGUUCUGUAUUUUCUGGUGGAUUAAAUUGAAAUUGCAACCAACUUUCUAUGGCUUGUUUAAAAAUUGUGAUAUUUGGGAGACGACUUCCUUUUCAAAUAACUGAAAGUGAGCGGUUGUAAUCGGAACAAAGGGAAAAGGGCCAUUCUUGAACAAAUUUGGUAGAGAACCAGUUUGGUAGAGAACCAGUUCGAAUUUGAUGCACCCAUCCCGUUAGCGGGAUCAUUUUCGUCAACAUCCACUGAAUUGCAGAUAACCAAAUUCAAAUUAAAUUACUAAUAAUAUUUAAUUUUCAUGAAAUCACAAGUGCAAUAUAGCAAAACACAGUUUAGCUUGUUGUUAAUCCACCUGGCGUGUCAGAUUUCAAAAAAGCUUUUCGGCAAAAGCAUACCAAGCGUUUAUGUAAGGACAUCUCUCUCAGCAGACAAAACAUUACAAACAGCUAGCAGCCAAGUAGAUUGGUCACGAAAGUCAGAAAAGCAAUCAAAUGAAUCGCUUACCUUUGAUGAUCUUCGGAUGUUUGCACCCACGAGACUCCCAGUUACACAAUAAAUGUUCCUUUUGUUCCAUAAAGAUUAUUUUUAUAUCCAAAAUACCUCCAUUUGAUUGGCACGUUUUGUUAAGAAAUCCACAGGCUCAAGCGGUCGGUCACAACGGGGCAGACGAAAAUUCGAAAUAGUAUCUGUAAAGUUCGUAGAAACAUGUCAAACGUUUUUUUAUAAUCAAUCCUCAAAAUGAUGUGGAUAUAUUGAAGCAACAUCUCAAAACAUCAGUCAGGAAGAUAAAGCUUGGUCACAAAUGGGUCUUCCAAAUGGACAUGGACCCCAAGCAUACUUCAAAAGGGGGGUAUUAUUAUUAUUAUUAUUAUUUACUAUUAUCAUUAUUAUUGUUGUUAUCAUAACUAGCAAACUUAACAACCUACUCUUUCUUAUCUUACAGUACGCUCUGUACAUUGCAAUGGAAGCACAGUGUGAUUUCACUGAGGUAUGUAUAAAUUCUUAAAUUCUCAUCACCAGUGGAUGUAAGUUUUUUUGGGAUCCACAUCCGAUUGUGUGAUUUUCUUUUUCAACGGAAAACAUGCAGCAAAUUAGGCGAUGGUGGUGCCUAGUUCUCCUGCAGAACUUUCCAAUGCCGUAAGUCUUGAACAAUAUAAAAACGUUUAAUUUGCAUCCUUGCCAGACUGACCUGAAUAUAUUUUCAUAUUGAAUGUACUGUAUGUCUUUCACUAACUAAGUUCUGAAGUAGAGAGAUGGAAAGAUCGAAAAAGGCGGUGGAAACAAAACACACUACAGGUAGGAGGUGUCAUAUGAUGAGUGGUAUAGUCUUAAACCAAUGUUUAAUGACCUCCCCCCUUCCUCUCCAAUAUAUUUCAGGAUGAUGUAGAAGACGUCCCCCCAAGAAGUCACAGCAUGUCACAUCAGCAUCCAGCUCUGCAGGAUCAGACGAUAGAAAUCUGUGAACUGGGAUGCAGACGUUCUUCUAAGGGACACCCGAGAAGCAGCAAGGUGGUGCGAACACCAAACAUUUAAAGGCACCAUUUCCCUCCUUAGAGUAAUUGGGAUGGACGGGGAAGACCAUAUUACAACCCUUAAAGAACUUUGUAUGAUGGCCUGGAUGACGAGGAAAAUAUUAUCCUCAAGGAACCAUUCAUGUUCUCGUUCCAGUUACAAGGAGAGAUGUUCUAUGUUGAGGCAGUUGACAACAAGAAAUUUACUGUCUCUGUCUCUUUUGAGGAGCAAGAGUGAAGCCAUUUUUGAGGAGUGGUCAAACCUUGUUUUUGUCUGCUGUGUUAUUUGUUUCAAUUGUUUAAUUGUGUUAUUUUGUUUAGUAAAGAUGAUGUAG